rnacentral:lncRNA from 1 species
AUGUGCGAGUGUGGUGCGCGCCUGGGCGGUGGCCGAGUGUGCCCGGGGCCCGGGGCCGCCCGAGGGGGCGGUGUCAGGCUGCGUGUGUGCGCGUGUGUGUGUGCGCGCGGGUGGCGCGCGGGCCCGGACCAAGUUGCCGCGGCGGCGCCCCCUCGGCUCCUGGGUCGGGCCGGGCCUGAGCUCGCGGGGGAGGAAGGGGCCCCGCGGCCGCCGACUCCGGCCUGUCGGGCUGUUUGUUGUUUCGCAAGUUCUGCGCGGCGCUGGCGGCCCGCUGCUCCGAGGCGGCGCCCGGGAGGCCGGGGAGGCCGGGGAGGCCGGGGAGGCCGGGGAGGCCCGGGAGGCCCGGGGGCGGCGGGGGCGGCGGGGGGGAGGGCGCCCCUGCGGGGCUGGCCGGCGGGGGAGGGGCCGGGGGCGCGGGGGGGCCGGGGGCGCGGGGCGGGCGGGCCGGGGCCUCGGCGGCGGGACGGCGCCCCCUCCCGGGGCGGGCGGGCGGCGCGGCGGGCGCGGGGUCUCCCGGGACACUCCCUCCGUGGACUCCGCAACUUUGCCGGGACCGCGGCGCGCGUGUACGUGUGCGAGCGUGUGUCUCGGUGCCGGUGCGGGGCUCGUGUCUGUGUGUCCGUGCGUCGGCCGUGCGCGUGUGUCGGCCUCCCCUCCCCGCCCCGCACCCUUCCCUGCGGCCUGAGAUCCCAGCCCGGGCCCCUGCGGCGGCCGACUUGCGCCCCACCCGUGCCCCGGGCAGGGGCGGCCCGUCGUCCUCCCGCGGCCUCGUCCUCUCAACCCACCCCCCCCCCCCCCGUUUGGGUGGCUGGAGCCCGGUACCCAGGGGCGCCGAGUAACGGGGAGACGCCCCACGCAGAGAUCGGAGCCAAGGCACGUGCCGGGCCACCUGGGCCCGGAGGGACUCCUCCCGGCCUCCCCGACUGGAGCUCGCUGCCCCGCCGCCCCCUCGGGCCUCCCGGGCCUCCCAGGCCUCGCUCCUCUAGCUCCUGCAGCCGCUCCUGCGGGUGGCUGGGAGCUGGGAGCUGGGGCCCGGCUUCCUAUCCGCCCCCCAAGCCCUCCAAGCCCUCCUCCAGCAGCUUUGUCCCCUCCCCCCACCCCGAGAUCAAACCGGAGGGAGGGGUUCGCUAUGUGCCUCCCCUCCUCCCACCGCGGCUCGAUUGCGAGAACCCUCCUGUGCCUCACCCCCUCCGGGCUGGGGGGACUGUCAAGAACUGA